GGAGUAGUGCCUGAAAUAAAGGAUCACUUUGAUAGAGUGAAUUAUGGGGGUUAAAAUCCCCCCUUCUCCU
rnacentral:tRNA from 1 species